CCGAGAGAAAAGAAGCAAGAAGGGAGAGUUUUUCCUCAUUUUUAUCUUAAAGCUUUUUUAUAAAAAAAUUGUGAUCCAUGAAGAUCCAACGGUCCAAUCUUUGAUCCAUCUUCGGAAACAUGAUCCUUGCACUCAGAUCUACAUUUUCACCGAUCGUUUUGAGAUAAUGGGUUACUUGGAACUUGUUUAAGGCUACCCAAACCAUGGGUUUUGGUUUGGUGAAUUUUUGGUUAUGAGGAGGAGAAGUACCAGGAUUGUCCAGACCCUUAGGUGAUCUUGAUGGCAGUAACUGAGGCUAGGAUGCCUCCUAUUUUUGUGGACUACUAUGUCUAGUCCAUUAUUAUCAUUAUAUUCGGAAAACAAUAUUUAUAUUUCUGUUAGUAUGUAAUAAGAUUAUUAUG